rnacentral:lncRNA from 13 species
GUGGCAGGUGCCUGUAAUCCCAGCUACUCGGGAGGCUGAGGCAGGAGAAUCACUUGAACCCGGAAGGCAGAGAUUGCAGUGAGUCAAGAUCACGCCACUGCACUCCAGUCUAGGCCACAGACUGAGACUCUGUCUCAAAAAACCAAAAAAGGAAGAAAAAAAAUGCCUGGAGCCCAUAUUCCCUUCCUGGGAAACAUCAUGUCCCUCCUUGUGGCUGCGACAGAAAGUGAGGAGCAUCAGGGCUGUCACUGGACAGACAGUGACAGUCCUUCCAGAGCCCACAAAGGAGCUGAGGCUCCAUCCCGAAGGACGGGGGACUGUGAGGUCAUCAGGCAGCAGAGUGACAGGGCUUCCUCUGUAAGCCAGGGGGGAUGGAGGAGGGUGACAGGGGGGCUGAGGACAGCGUGGAUGCCGGGGAAUGUCUGGGCAGAUGCCGUCAGCGAGCCCCGGCCACCCUUGGGCUGGAUGGUCCAGAUGGUCUGAGCCAGUCGUUUGCUCUCGGGGUCUUCCCUGGCAUGGCCAAGCCCCCGGAGAGGGGCCCAGGCAGCAGAUGGGGUGAGGGCCGCCUCCCCUACUUAGGCCUGGGAAUGUCCGGGCUGGCAGAGGGCCCGCUGGAGGCUGGUGAGAGGCCCACUUACCAUGACGGAUAGGGGCCCUGUCAGGCCGCGCCAAUUAGGCAAGAUGGAGUGCCAGGGAAGGGCUGUAAAUAUCUUGGCCGGCCCAGGAAUGUAAAUGGUGGUAUUCAACAAGCCGGAAAAAUGUUCGCUUCAGACAGGAUGGCUUUUUUUGUGUGUGUUUUAAAAACAUGUUCUGCCCUCCGCGAAGACUUCGAGGGCAACGUGGGCGGCUAUGAGGCUGGUGCCCGCGGGCGGGCUACUUAUCCAGUCCUGGCGGGGGCGAAGGCCCAUGAAGUCAGAGUCUCGCAGGGGAAGUCCCUGGAAGGGCCGGUGCAUUCGAAGCCCAGAAAAGGCCCGAACCUGGCUUGCAGCUUUGUUCCUGGUCACAAGGGACCCUGGGUGCGGGAGCAGGCUGAAUUCCUAGAAGACAGGAAUUUAUGGUGUGAGAGCUCCAGUCCCCGCAGACCCACUGCCAAGGUCAACAGCACGAGGCGGGCAUCCCUGCCAAGUGGGGAGUGGAGUCGCGGCUUUAGGAGUCGGUUGCACAGAAAACCAAAGGACAUGCAUUAAAAAAGAAAAAAAAAAAAAGAAAUCCCUUCUCUCCCUCGAGUUCCCAAACUGGGGCUCACACAAGGUCUGCCAGCAUGACCCGGGGAAGGCCUCUGGUCUGGGAACCCAAGCUCAGCAGCUCAGCCUCAGGGGGUGUGGGCAGGAUCUCCGUGGUGGCCCUACGUCUCUGGCCAACCAAGGGGAGUUGACAUGAACAUGGCACACUUGCCAUCUUCCUGGGCCCUGUCACCAAGCCCCCUGAGGUGGGAGCCUGCUUCAUUUCACCUCCCCUCUGCCAUCUUGGUUCUGGGGGUCUUGACUGUCCAGACAACAAGCCUCUCACAGACCCGGGGUCCUAGAUCUCCGGCAGCAGAGAGACUGGGGGUGCUGCCUGUGGUCCCGGGUGGGGGGAGGAGCCUAGAGACCACCCAGACUCAGACCCGAUGACCCAAUGCUGAGAAGGUGACCUUGGCCCCAGCCCCGAGCCCCGCAGGUAUAACUGACCAUCCAUGUGUCACCCAUCUGCCUGACAUCUGCUGAGUUCCCCUGUGUGCCGGGCGCCCGGGAAAAGGGGAAACCAAGGCAGAGGAGGCUUCAGUGCCAAGUGGGGCAUGGAGGAAAGACGGAUAGAAAAAUGGAGGUGACCUUCACGUGACGCCAGGGGGCUGGAGGGGCUGUGGGUCCCCUCCCCGCCCAGGAGAGAGAGGCUGCCCUGGGGCUGCCUGCCGGGGAGGACGAGGGUUGGAGACCGCUUUCUGAAGGGGGCAGAGUUCACCAGGCGGACACGCAGUGGGAGAGGGGACUUGCUUGGAAGGAACAUUCCAGCUGAGGCCAAAGCAUGUGCAAAGGCCCAGAAUGUUUAUACCUUGGUAAGACUUUUCAUAUAAAUAAAUUCUCAAAUCCAGAAAACA